rnacentral:rRNA from 1 species
UACGAAGGGGGCUAGCGUUGCUCGGAAUCACUGGGCGUAAAGGGUGCGUAGGCGGGUCUUUAAGUCAGGGGGGAAAUCCUGGAGCUCAACUCCAGAACUGCCUUUGAUACUGAGGAUCUUGAGUACGGGAGAGGUGAGUGGAACUGCGAGUGUAGAGGUGAAAUUCGUAGAUAUUCGCAAGAACACCAGUGGCGAAGGCGGCUCACUGGCCCGAUACUGACGCUGAGGUGCGAAAGCGUGGGGAGCAAACAGG